ensembl:lncRNA
GAUCACCGUUGGCUUGUGUGAGCUCGCCUGCCCAACGGGCUGACCCCAAACAUCUGGCCCCGGGGCGGCGGAGGCUCUUCCCCGGGUCCUGCCCUCGCGCCGGUCCACCUCCACCGCCGCGCAGAGCGGCGCGUGGGACGCGCAUCUUUCCGAGUGGUCCCCUCUGAACCCGGGCUGCGCUGACCCGGAGUCAGGCCGCCACCGGAGAUGCAGGGAGGGGUGCCUUCCUCUUGGUUCGUCGGCUGACAGCCGUGGGAACGCUAACUUUACCCGGAGGGGUCCUUAAGGGCCGGGGGUGGGCGAGGUUCUCCUCCCCUGGCGCUCACCUCCCCCUCGCCCCAGGCCCUCCCCUCCCCCGCCUCGCGCGGCAUCACUCUCAGAGCAUCCUCACUCCGCCCAGUUCGGUGCCAGCUGCGUGGGCUCCAGCUUCGUGCGUUUUCCUUGGAAUGCUCGGAAACUCGGCGAAGACUAAGGAGAUCCCGUCGGAAUUUGCCGGGCGUGCUGGCACCGGGCAAAGCACUCGCGCCGCCGGCCUCGACUCCAACCCCCUUCAGCCAGAAGAUCGCAACUUUGCAGAAAUGUUGCCAGUUAGAAAUUCAAGGAAACUAAAGAUGAUCACCAUCCAAUGAAUAUCCGAGUAUCAGCCACUUUUGUACAUUGAACCACAUUUGCAGAGCAACAACCCAGCAUGUGGGCAUCAUUAUCUACCAGACAGAGUCUCCAAGGAGAGGAGAUAACUACCCUGAGGGAUUCUGAGAGUCAGUGCUAUCGUGAUUUCACACAUGAGAAAACAUAACUCCAAGGUCAUGUAUGGAUGUGAGAGUUGGACUAUAAAGAAAGCUGAGUGCUGAAGAAUUGAUGCUUUUCAACUGUGGUGUUGGAGAAGACUCUUGAGAGUCCCUUGGACUGCAAGGAGAUCCAACCUGUCCAUUCUAAAGGAGAUCAGCCCUGGGUGUUCUUUGGAAGAAAUGAUGCUGAAGCUGAAACUCUAAAACUUUGGCCACUUGAUGCAAAGAGCUGACUCAUUUGAAAAGACCCUGAUGCUGGGAAAGAUUGAAGGCAGGAGGAGAAGUGGACAACAGAGGAUGAGAUGGUUGGAUGGCAUCACUGACUCAACAGACAUGGGUUUGGGUGAACUCCGGGAGUUGGUGAUGGGCAGGGAGGCCUGGUGUGCUGUGAUCCACAGGGUCGCAAAGAGUCAGACACGACUGAGCGACUAAACUGAACUGAACUGAUUAACAAAACUUCUCCUCUACUAGACAGUGUCCUCCCUGAGGUCAGAGAAUUCUUGCUGCUGUUUUAACAGCUAUAGCGAGAUAUAAUUUGUAUAAAAGUUCACCCACUGGGAUUGUGUUUUAUGUGACAUUUUAUCCUCAACCCUCAAGAUAGUCCUGGUCUGCUAUAGAAUAAGCCUCAAUAAAUCUUUUGCUGAAGAAUGGAGCCCACACUGAGGGGUCAAGAUUUCUGGGAGACACGAAGCAGACAUGAAACAGACACAUCCCAGUUAACUAGUUUGUCUUCAGGGUCAAGUUGGUAGAUGAGGUUGCUCACUGUCACUCUCACUCAGUCUGAAUACCUUCUUUUAAAGAAUGUACCUUCAAAUAGAGGAGAAGGCCUUGCUUCACCAAAGGUGACUCCUUGCCUGAAACUGCAAUGGACUCAUAUAAAUGAAUUAGCUUCAGGACCUUACUACUGGGCUCAGCACGCUAUCUUCAGUCACUGAAAAUGGGUGAAACAGAACAAACUACCCUGUCUUUUCCUUUCCUUUUUAAUAGCAGGACAGGUUGUUUUAGGGAUAUAGAGAAUAAUGAAUUGAGAAACAUUCAUGAAUUAAACCUCUAAACAUAAAAAAAAAAAAAUUAGUUACUGUAUAUUAGUGAUUACGGGGGGGUCCAGUUUUGUCCCCCCAGUGCUAAAGAGCUCUUUUGAUAAUUCUAGAUAAAACAAAUUAUAUAAUCAGUAAGUACAGGGAACCCUGUUUACUACUGUUAUAUUUCCUCCAAAUGCUUCAAAUAAAGCCUAUAUGAGAAAUGAAUGUCACAUAGUAACUACCAUUUAGGAGAAAAGAAACUGAUGUAGACUGUCUUAUUUACAACUAAAACAAAAAAAGAUAAAUGUGUGAAUUUUUAAAAUUAUACCCCUAAUAAAAACCUUCUGCUUAAUUCCACCAUGAUGGUAAAACUACAUCUAUAUCUUCACUAUCC